rnacentral:rRNA from 1 species
UACGUAGGGUGCAAGCGUUGUCCGGAAUUAUUGGGCGUAAAGAGCUCGUAGGCGGUUCGUCGCGUCGGCUGUGAAAACCCGGAGCUCAACUCCGGGCCUGCAGUCGAUACGGGCGGACUUGAGUGUUGCAGGGGAGACUGGAAUUCCUGGUGUAGCGGUGAAAUGCGCAGAUAUCAGGAGGAACACCGGUGGCGAAGGCGGGUCUCUGGGCAACUACCGACGCUGAGGAGCGAAAGCGUGGGGAGCGAACAGG